GCCAGUGUGGCACAGUGGUUUGAAUGCUGGACUAGGACUCAGGAGACCAGAGUUUAAAUCCCCGCUCAGCCA